UACGUAGGUGGCAAGCGUUGUCCGGAUUUAUUGGGCGUAAAGCGCGCGCAGGUGGUGCGGUAAGUCUGCCGUGAAAUCUCCCGGCUCAACUGGGAGGGGGCGGUGGAGACUGCCGGACUGGAGGGACCUAGAGGCCGGUGGAAUUCCCGGUGGAGUGGUGAAAUGCGUAGAGAUCGGGAGGAACACCAGUGGCGAAGGCGGCCGGCCGGGGGUGCCCUGACGCUGAGGCGCGAAAGCGUGGGGAGCGAACCGG
rnacentral:rRNA from 1 species